rnacentral:lncRNA from 1 species
CUACGGAGGUGGAAGCUGUGUGUGAGCUGCGCCCCGCAGCCCGCUCUCCCGCUCCAUUCUUCCCGCAGCCCCCCCUGCUCCAACCAGGUGACUGGGGGCUCAGCGGACCCGCCCUGCCGCCCGGAAUGGAGCGGGUCCCCAUGGAGCCCAAACUCCCUGCUCCACCUCUCUUCCCGCUGCCGCCGCCAAGCCGCUCCGAGCCCGAGGGAGAUGGCAACCCCCAUCCUUGUGCACGCCGUUGGACAGACUCCGCGCCGGAGCCCCGUCUGCCCUGGGCUGCCAGAGGUCUCCACAUCCUCCUCCUCCCUACUCUACCUGAGCUUCUUCCUCAUCUGCGGGACCCUGUGCCAAGGAACCUACCCAAAUCCAGGCCUGCUCCCUGAAACAUUGGCAAGAAACUGGAAAAAGAGGCUAAUAUGGAGAGGGAAGAAGUUUGGCAAGAUCUUUGGAGAGAAAAAGGACAGAGCUGAGCAAAUCUGCCCGCCAAAAUAUCACCCCUUUUCCAUGCUCCAUUCACAACCACCAGCCCAUUUUUCCACAUGACAAUCCUCUGCAGUCCAGAAGCUUGAAAAUUACAAGCCCAAGAUUCAAGACACAUGUUUCUUGUCCAGAGUCCUGCCUGUCUAGAAACAAAGAUAAAUCAGACCUCAGAGAAUCCGUCAAGCACUAUAUCCACUGGGCCCCCUAACCAGACUAGAAGUGCCCCAGUACAUUCUGAAGGGACACCUAUCACCUAUGUCCCCUGUGUGAGGUGAGGUGAUUUUGGAUGGAGUGACAACGACCCAGUGUCAGCAACCCUUCAUCUCUGGGCGUGUCUAUGGGGUUCUGCCAAACUUACCUCCACUGCAUCUCAGACUGAAGGUUCAGGGAGCUGCAGAUGGGCUCUGCCUGUGCUCUGGCACCGUCUGGUGUCCAUGCGCUCUAACAUUAACUCUCAGCUCUUCCGCCAGUUCCCUCAGUAGCCCUCUGGGCUGCACUGGCCUUGGACACCUGCCAGCUUGAUUUUCUUCCUCCUCUCCCUCUCAGUGCACUGAAGUGCCCUAUAGACCAGGGUAUUUCUCAAAGUCUCCUAGAGCGCUCACCACAACCCAAUACAGUAAAACUUGUUGGGUCCCCACCGUUGGGUCCUGAGAGCCCUCUUAUAUCAAUCCCCCUGCCUCAGUUCAUGAUACUGCCUUUAGGUCUGCUUCCUGCAAUAGAGGUAAGAUACAUGGGAAAAAAAGGCUCAAUGGACAGAAAAGAAGGAAGUUUAUGGAGAUGUCUUGAGAGAAAAUUCACAGUGAUUUGCAUAGCUGCCAACCAAAAUAUUACAACUUUUACAUGCUACAUUUAUGAAUAACAUCCCUUAUUUGUACAUGAUACACUCACAGAGGCCUUAGGCUUGAAACUACAAGCCCAAGAUUCAAGACAGAUGUUUCUGGGUCCUGAGUUGUGCCUCUCCUGAAACAAGGGAAGUCUGGCCCCAGAGAACCUAUCAAACUCUCUGGCCCUUGGGCCACAUGACCAGGCUGGAAAUACCCAUCAGAUUUUGAAGCCACAGGCAUGUCCCCACACUGAGGUGAGAAAAUUCUGGGCCAGAGAGUCAGAGGCACCCUGUAACCAAACCCUACAACUCUGGGCACAUCCUGAGUGUUCCACCAACUCAUCUUCAACCACAUCUCUAAGCUGGAGGUGUGUCCAGGAAGCUGCAGGUAUACGUUUCUGCUGCUCUGGCACCAUCUGGCGGCCAUCAGCUCUAACAUCAACUCUCAGCCCUUCAUUCUGUUUUCCCUCAGCUGUUCCCUGGGGCUGUUCUGGCUUUAGAUCUCUGCCAGCUUGAUGUUCUUUCUCUCAUCCUCUAAGCUUAAUGAAGUGCCCUACAGACUGGGCCGUUUCUCUUUCAAAGUCUCCCAGAGCACUCAUGCCAACCUACCCUAUCAAUACAUUAAAACCCUCUGCUUCC